UCACUGCUGCUGCUGGCAGUAAGACGAGUGCUUAGGGGCCGUAUACAAACUACAACACCAAAAAAAGAUACAACAAAAAUAUUUAAUAAUUUAACUUUUUUUUUGUUAAGUAUGUGCUGUAGUACAACUAGCAGGAUACAAGUUAUAAAGUUGUGGUAAGUUUAGAGACACUAUCUUAAUUAAUCAUUAAGUGU